rnacentral:rRNA from 1 species
CUAGCGGCAGGCCUAAUACAUGCAAGUCGGACGGGAUUGGGGAGCUUGCUCCCCAUGAGAGUGGCGCACGGGUGCGUAACACGUAUGUAACCUACCUUUAUCAGGGGGAUAGCCUCUCGAAAGAGAGAUUAAGCCCGCAUAACAUUACACCAUGGCAUCAUGAAGUAAUCAAAUAUUUAUAGGAUAAAGAUGGGCAUGCGGAACAUUAGCUAGUUGGUAAGGUAACGGCUUACCAAGGUUACGAUGUUUAGGGGAUCUGAGAGGAUGACCCCCCACACUGGUACUGAGACACGGACCAGACUCCUACGGGAGGCAGCAGUAAGGAAUAUUGGUCAAUGGGCGGAAGCCUGAACCAGCCAUGCCGCGUGCAGGAAGACGGCCCUACGGGUUGUAAACUGCUUUUAUACGGGAAUAAACCUUCGUAUGUAUACGAAGCUGAAUGUACUGUAAGAAUAAGGAUCGGCUAACUCCGUGCCAGCAGCCGCGGUAAUACGGAGGAUCCAAGCGUUAUCCGGAUUUAUUGGGUUUAAAGGGUGCGUAGGCGGCCUAUUAAGUCAGGGGUGAAAGACGGUAGCUUAACUAUCGCAGUGCCUUUGAUACUGAUGGGCUUGAAUAUACUUGAGGUAGGCGGAAUGUGACAAGUAGCGGUGAAAUGCAUAGAUAUGUCACAGAACACCAAUUGCGAAGGCAGCUUACUAAAGUAUGAUUGACGCUGAGGCACGAAAGCGUGGGGAUCAAACAGGAUUAGAUACCCUGGUAGUCCACGCCCUAAACGAUGAACACUCGAUGUUGGCGAUAUACGGUCAGCGUCUA